CCCUUAGAUGUCCUGGGCCGCACGCGCGUUACACUGAUGCAUUCAACGAGCUUAUAACCUUGGCCGAGAGGCCUGGGCAAUCUUGUUAACGUGCAUCGUGAUAGGGAUAGAUUAUUGAAAUUAUUAAUCUUGAACGAGGAAUUCCUAGUAAACGCAGAUCAUCAAUCUGCAUUGAUUACGUCCCUGCCCUUUGUACACACCGCCCGUCGCACCUACCGAUUGGAUGGUCCGGCGAAGCCUCGGGAUUGUGGUUCUUGCCGCUUUGUUGUGGCGUGACCGCGAGAACUUGUCUAAACCUUAUCAUCUAGAGGAAGGUGAAGUCGUAACA
rnacentral:rRNA from 1 species